AUAACACUAAACAAACCCGGCGUGUUUUUAAACGAAAAAAAAUCCAACAAUGUCUCGCGACGUUAGGCGGUUAAAAAAUACGAGUGAAAUAGACUUCUAACGCGAAUAACGUCUAAAACUUAAAUGCCACAUUGAGGAAAUGUUAAAAGAGAGAGGGCUGGGACAUUGCGCGUGAGUUAUUUUUUUGGGGAUGGCAAUCUAUGAAACACAAGAAGCAAGAAGCCAGUAUUGCUCGUAAAAGUGCAUCAGAAAAAGAAGAAGAAUAUGUAUUAACCAUCAACAGACACACAGAUAGUAUAAAAUUUUUUUGUGUGGCUCCCGUUAUCCGUAUUUGAUUGUUGGGCAGUUGGAUUUGCUUUUUCAUCCCGGCUCCACUUUAUGUUGAUUCGGAGUGUAACAUAAGUGUGUGAGUGUGCGAUAUGAUGCGACUUUGGGAAACUCUAUGGAGGGAGUGGAAUAGAAAUAGGCUGGUAAAAACCCGUCAGGCGACUAAACCAAAAGAAAUGGGAGGAAAAAAAAUCUAAAUAUAUAUAUAUAUUAUGGCUUUAAAGAGAGACAAUAAUAUAAUAUAAUCUUAUAUAUUUUUAGGAAUUCGCCCGUAUUUAUUAGAAUACGCAAAAGAACUAAACUUAAUAUAAGUAUACCAACAGAAGAAUUUUGUUAUUUAAUUCUGCCAAGCUGAAUGUGUUAUUUUAAAAGUAUGGCUACCCACACGUCGAUACCCUCUACGUGGUUUUAAUCAUCCUAUUUACUACAUAUAUACAAUACAUAUAUACAAAAUAAGUAUAUGUUUUUUUUAUUUUGCUCAAGUUUCAAGUUCACGCUAAUCGCUGUGGAUUUUAUUGCGUAAUCAUCUCACAGAUAGAGUUCGCUUGCUCAGUUGGACUGGAAAUAACAAAAAAGAAAAAAAAAAUUAGGCACAGACAAAAAAAAAAUUUAAAAGUUACUACAUUAGACUUUUCCUUAUCGCACGGGAUAAUCGCUUGAAUGUGUAUAGAGCGAGCAUUCUUUUCGCUUGAUGCGUGUUAGAUUUUUUUAAAACCAUAUAACGACUACGAAAAUGCAUGGCCGGCAGUAGCGGAACCUCUCUGUAGUCGGCCCUGUGCUAAAAAAUAAAACAAAAAAUUCGCGCGUCUGGCGAAUUAUUUUUGCUAACUACUUAAUUCGCGGACGCUUUGCUUUUUCACUGGUUAAAGCUGUUAGAAAACCUUCAUAUUUUCACAUCAGAUGACGUUCUAUAAAAACUUUCAUCACCAAAUGAAUAAAUAAGUAAUCGCAUUGAGUGUAAAAGUGGGCCACUGCGUAAAAAAAAAAAAAAAAAAAAACUAAAUAAACAAAACAAAAAAAUAAAUGUCUUCAAAAGAUCGCAAUUUGAAAAGGGUAACUUGGUGAACUACGCAAUUGGUGAAAGUUGUUAUUCAUAUCCGAAAAUAAUACCGAUUAUACAUAAUAAUGUAAUUGUACCGGCUAACAGGUGCUAGAUUUUUCGGAUUAGUUUUUUUAUGCCGAUCUUUUGUACCCCAUAAACUAUAAGUAGUAUUGUAGAUACCUAAAUCGGAGAAAGAACCAGACCAAAAAAAGGGAAGAGAAAAUCUAGCUUAAAAAAGUCGGAGGAAACGAGAGGUGAGAGGAAGAUGAGCCUCAAAAAUUGCAAAGUACCGGCUAUUUUAAAGUGAAGGCAUCAAGGCGGUCGAGCAAGCCGUUGUGGGAUAGGAUAGGAGAAGGAUAGAAAAAAAGAAAAAAAAGGACAGGUCACCCUCUGUUUCCAGCAUACCAACUAGCUUGCAGCUGAGAGGACUCUUCUUCUUCUUCUUCUUCUUCUUCUUCUCUUAUUUUCUAGCCUUUGGCUCUUAUAUUAUACUAUAUACCGUCAGACAUCCACUUGUGCUUCACGAUAUCCGAUCUCUGCGUGAUCCCACUGCAACGGCAAUCUUCUAUGCUGCUCAGGAUUAGUUUUGUUCGAACAAAGAAAAUGCUUUUUGACUUUUAAGUCAAUUGCGCAAGAAUUAUGUAUUCAGGAAUAUUUCCUUUCUUUGUUCCCAAAAACAUUUCCGCCAAACUAGGCCUGUGUCUUUUUCACGAUAACAUCAUGCGUAGGCAGGUCAAACGAUUAUUUAUAACAUUAAUAAGUGAAUAACGCAUACCUGCAGCUCUACUCGGAUAAAAGCCAAAAAGCAUAUGGGUGUAUUAUAUUAUGAUGCUAUCUAUGUGUGAGUCAAGUCCUUGAUGGAGCUCGAGGGCGAGUCUCACCCUUAUAUCUAGGUAAAAUAAUUAGCUUCAGCUGUUCCAAUUAAGAAGAAGUAGCUGAAAAAAAAAUUUACAUUGUAAAAAUCUA
rnacentral:lncRNA from 1 species